AUCUGGGGCACUUGCAUCUAUGAUCAUUUAUUGGUUAAAGUGAAUACGGGACAACCACGAGGCUACAUUAUAGAUCGUCUAUUAGUUCAAGACAAAUACAUCUGUAUUAAUAUAUUGAUUACAGAAAAUCUGGGACAAAUACAGCGGUGGAUCCAAAUGGUGAAUCGGGGGUUGGAACACCCUUUUUUGACAAUAAAUGAUUUUGAAUGGGGAUAUGGUUUGAAUAUACAUUUAUGAUCGUCUAUUGGUUCAAGAGAAUCUUGGACACAUACAUCUUUUGGUUAAAGAGAAUCUGUGACAAAUAUACAAUCAUACAUCUCUAGCCAGUCAUCUUUUGGUUAAAGAGAAUCUCGAACAAAUACACUUAUAAUCAUCUAUUGGUGCAAGAGAAUCUGGUUAUUACAGGUACAAACACGUC
rnacentral:lncRNA from 1 species